rnacentral:lncRNA from 1 species
AAAUUAUACAACCUCUUGGAUCUAACCAAGGCAAAAUGUUACAGUCGUGUUAACGUAUUUUUAAUUUUAUUAUAUUUUGUACAUAUUGGACUAUUUUAAAUUCUGAAGUGUCACAUUCUUUUCCAAGCUCUGAUAUUUUCGUCAGGCUCAAGCAUACUCACGAGCUCCAAGCGAUAUGAGACUCGUUUUCGCUAGCCUUAGCUUAUCUUGUGGAGAGUUGCGCUCCACCCGCAACGACUGUUAAUCGGAAAGCCACGUUCUGCCCGCUGUAUAAUCUUAAGCUCAGUUGAGACUCAUCUCGCACGUCCUGCUAGUGAUUGAAUCUGAUACCAAGUAUGACUCUCUUAACUUCUCUAACCCUAAUGUGCUUAACUUUUUUUAACUUCUUCAAUGUUAUUA